rnacentral:lncRNA from 1 species
GGGAUUGUUCCGGCCAGCUCCCGGCCAAUAGAAGAUCCCUGCCUGCAGCACCUUAGUGAAGACGCGGCCCGAGUGAUGGAGAAGCCAUUCCUUUCUUUCUGGCGUAGCGUCUUCCCACGUGACUGAGCGGCGGGGACACAGAACGCCGUCGGCAGCAUUUUCCAUCGCGAGCAUCCGGGUAUUGACCUGGCUUCCUUGAGGUUUAUCUUC